rnacentral:rRNA from 1 species
CCUACGGGUGGCAGCAGUGAGGAAUAUUGGUCAAUGGACGAGAGACUGAACCAGCCAAGUAGCGUGAAGGAUGACUGCCCUAUGGGUUGUAAACUUCUUUUAUAUGGGAAUAAAAUGUUCCACGUGUGGGAUUUUGUAUGUACCAUAUGAAUAAGGAUCGGCUAACUCCGUGCCAGCAGCCGCGGUAAUACGGAGGAUCCGAGCGUUAUCCGGAUUUAUUGGGUUUUAAGGGAGCGUAGGUGGAUUGUUAAGUUAGUUGUGAAAGUUUGCGGCUCAACCGUGGAAUUGCGGUUGAAACUGGCAGUCUUGAGUACGGUAGAGGUAUGCGGAAUUCGUGGUGUAGCGGUGAAAUGCUUAGAUAUCACGAAGAACUCCGAUUGCGAAGGCAGCACACUGGACUGCAACUGACGCUGAGGCUCGAAAGUGUGGGUAUCGAACAGGAUUAGAUACCCCUGUAGUC